CCUUCGAUAGCUCAGUUGCUAGAGCGGUGGACUGGUAGAAAGUUGUGAUGGUUAUCCAUUAGGUCGCUGGUUCGAAUCCGGCUCGAAGGA
rnacentral:tRNA from 1 species